GGCCGGUUAGCUCAGUUAGUUAGAGCGUGGUGCUCAUAACACCAAGGUUGCUGGUUCGAUCCCUGCAUAGGCCG